rnacentral:rRNA from 1 species
AACGAACGCUGGCGGCGCGCUUAACACAUGCAAGUCGAACGAGAAGGCGUAGCAAUACGCUUGUACAGUGGCGAACGGGUGAGUAAUACGUGGGCGACCUACCCUCGAGUGGGGAAUAACCCGCCGAAAGGCGGGCUAAUGCCGCGUACGCUUCCAUCUUUAUGGAGGUGGAAGGAAAGCCGUGCCGUGGGCACGGCGCUCAAGGAUGGGCUCACGUCCUAUCAGCUUGUUGGAGGGUAACGGCCUACCAAGGCUCCGACGGGUAGCUGGUCUGAGAGGACGAUCAGCCACACUGGCACUGCGACACGGGCCAGACUCCUACGGGAGGCAGCAGUGAGGAAUAUUGCGCAAUGGGCAAAGCCUGACGCAGCGACGCCGCGUGGGGGAUGAAGGUCUUCGGAUUGUAAACCCCUUUCGGGAGGGAAGAUGGGACGGGCGACCGUUCGGACGGUACCUCCAGAAGCAGCCACGGCUAACUUCGUGCCAGCCGCCGCCGUAA